UGGAAGGAACUAAAACACAAAAGAUUAACAUACUAACAUCUUCCCUUAAAAAAGACCAGUGUUGUGGGAUCUUCCAGACAGGGAGGGGAUGAAGGCAGGGCCCUUCCUAGGUUCAGGCUGAGGCUGCAAAACCGAAGGCAGAGAACCCUGAUGGAACACUGCUGUUGAUGGAGACACUGCCUGCCUGUGGUCAGUGGAGAGGACCGCUGAGCCUGCCCCUACCACAGCACCAGAGUGACAGAGGACAGGGACCCAAGACAAAGAACAGAAACAUUCAAGAAGAAACUAAAGUAAGCAUGUUCUACGUGCCAGGCCCAGGAGGGAGAUACAAAAGAGCAAGAAAAACGCUCACACACUCACGGAGCUCACCAACUAGCGGCAGCAAUGGAUGAGACUCCUGCACAUUUCCGAGAUGGAAGUGUUUUCCCUACUACAAUAGUCUUUUUGAAUAAAGCCUCUCCUAAUCUGUGUCCGGAUUUGACAACCAGCAAUCUUUCUACCAUGCACGUCU